GGGCUAUUGGACGAAACGCUCACGCGGCCGCCGCAAGUCGCACGCAUGCGGACAGCGCGAUCGAUCUCCAGCAGCAGCAGGGCCUCUAACGCCCGCGCCGCCGUCCGCCGUGGCUCCGCCCCAGGCCCACCCACUUUCCCCCUACUCCCAGGCUGUAGGCCACCGCCCUCCUGUUCGUCGUUCGCCCGUGUGACCCUGCUUCACUGCCGGCUGCCGUAACUUAACAAGAAGAUGAAGAGAUUUUUCCUGUUGCAACCGCAUCAGUGGAAAGAGUUUAUGAGUAUAAUCAAGACUUGCCAAUUUCAUUUUAUAUUGUAGAACAAGAAGAUGAAGAGAUUUUUCCUGUUGCAACCGCAUCAGUGGAAAGAGUUUAUGAGUAUAAUCAAGACUGAGUUAAGGAAUAGAAUGAACGAGUGAUGCUUGGCUGAAUUAAAGAAUGGUUUGCUAUGUUGAGCGAGAUGUAUUUUGCAAGUACUGAAGAUGAUGAUAUUGUGUAUCACUUUCAAUCAUAUAGGUUUCUUUAACUCUUCGAAGUGGUGUUGAGUCUUCUCCCACCGUUCAUGAUGUUAUGCGAGGCACUGAUGAAGCAAAGCAAACUAUUGAUUUGGUACUCUUUUUUUAUCACGUAUUGUUCUUUAUAGUUUUUGUCAUUUUUAAUUUAUUUUGUUGUAUUGUUAAGCAUUGAGUUUAAAUUCUAAAGUUUUCAUGCAAUUGAGCCAUAUUUUGUA